AGGGCAUGGUUCAGCUUCUGAAGAAACUCUCAGCUGCAAAACCCUGCCUCCAUUCCUCAAAAAAUAAAUUUCAGGUGGUUGGGAUACAAGGAAACUAAACCGAGUGGAAACCUGAGUAAGAUCCAGCCGCACCCCUGAGAGAGCACACUACAGAGCCAGCUUCAGGAGCAUGUCAACUGGGAGCAUACAGAUACACCCCUCAGAG